rnacentral:rRNA from 1 species
UACAGAGGGUGCGAGCGUUAAUCGGAAUUACUGGGCGUAAAGCGCGCGUAGGCGGCUUUGCAAGUCGGGUGUGAAAUCCCCAGGCUUAACCUGGGAACUGCAUUCGAGACUGCAUUGCUAGAGUAUGGGAGAGGGAAGUGGAAUUCCUGGUGUAGCGGUGAAAUGCGCAGAUAUCAGGAGGAACACCGGUGGCGAAGGCGGGUCUCUGGGCCGAUACUGACGCUGAGGAGCGAAAGCGUGGGGAGCGAACAGG